CAUGUCGCCACCUGAAGUUUCGGAGGGAUUACUGUAGCCUAGGUUUCUUGCGAAGCCGACAGACGUGAAUGCAGCAGAAACCUGGACAAGAUAUUCAGAGGGAGUUUGUCUCCAUCCAGGAGCUGCAGUGGCCCUGUGGAUUCGGAGACGCCACGGUUGAUGUCAGCUCGGUGCCACGAGCACCCGGCAGCUCCGUCUGACAGCAGCAGAGAGGUGAGAGGAAGAAAACCAAGUGCUCUGGUCUGUGGGGAAGUGUGAGAACGCAAAAACAACCCGCAGCGCGACCCAAAAGCAUGAAAAAAAAAAAAAAAAAACACAGCAACAAGGAAGUGGAAACUGUGACAGCUGGUAUUUUUAGACCGUGAAAACCUUUAGGACUUUGACUAGAAACAUCAAAAAAGUCAUUAUGUUGAGCUGAGCUACAUGUAUUAGAUUUACUGUCUAAAAAACUUGUUGUCCACUAAGAGCAAAUUAUACAGUUUGUAAUAAUUAGUUGUAAAGUCCCAGAAAUGUGUCUACUGUUUUGUUGUCACUCACACCUGUCUGUGUAAAACUACAACUUAGACGUAGUCUGAAAGUUACUGAUUCCUCCUUUAGCUGAAGGCAACAUGCCCUUUUUAAAACCUUAGUCAGUUUUUUUUUUAACACAGUUUCUUUACAAACUGUCGACAGAGAAAAAAAAAGUUUAAAUGACUCACAUUUAAACUGAUGGGGUCUGUUUAUAACUUUACAAUGAAUAUAGUUUGGUACAAACACCCACACUGGGGACACAUCCUGGGUGGGUCUCAGUUAAAGACUCCAAAAAAAACACCAGUCAGCCGUAAUAUUAUGACCACUCACAGGUUAAGUGAAUUAUCUCAUUACCAGGAUGUAUGAGGCAACAAGUGAACAUUUUGUCCUCAAAAGUCGAUGAUAGAAACAGGAAAGACGGGCUGAUGGAAGGAUCUGACUAACCUGGAUGAGGGCUGGAUGGGGUGUUCCUGGUCUAGAGUGGUCAGUAUCUAAGUGGUCCGUGGAAGGAACAGCAGGGAACCAGUGGCCCGGUCAUGGCCAACUAAAGCUCACUGAUGUCCACAGGAAGCAAAGGUCCUAUCCUUCAUGUGGAUGUCACUUUAACACGUACCAAACAACAAAGCAUCGUGACAGACCACGUACCUUUCAUGGAGACAGUAUGUCAGUGGUAUUGACCUGGCCCCCAAAUUCACCAGAACUGAAUCCAUCUGAGCAUCUGUGGGAUGUGUUGGACAAACAAGUGCAAACCCCCAGAGACUGCACCUCACAACCUGCAGCACUGGAAGGAUCUGCUGCUAAUGUCUUUAUAGUUUUGGCAGUAAAUGCAGGCAACACAAUAUCAGGCAGAUGGUCAUAAUGUUAUACCUCAUCUGUGUGUAUAUGGGGACCACAAUGGAAUCCAUAAAAGGAAACCGGUGCACUUCCUCUGCACUAUACACAUUGUCUCUGGAGGAAACGAACAGGUCAUGUGUUUAUUAUUUUAAGACAGAUAUUUGAAAAGGGUAAAUUUGUCUAUUAAAUUGACAGAAAAAAACAAACAAGCGAUGGUUUCCGUAGCUCACGGCAGCUCGACCACGUAGACAACUCUACGUUCAUUUAAAUUACAGGACAACCUCCACCGUUUGUUUUUAAUGAGAAGCGGUUCUCAAGCCGUCGGGUGUUCAGGAUUUAGAUCAAUCAGACAAGACUGAAUCAAUGCCCAUACUCUUAUCCGUGUCCCAUCACAAGCGCAGAGAGUCCUGCAAGUUUAUUACCAAACGAUGACAGCUGUUUAUCUU